AAUUCGCAAUGAAAUUUUUACGAAGGCACAGGCAGUCGAACAAUUGUCCUGUAUUACGUAAGAUCGUCGCAUCUGUCAACCGUUUUCUACCGCGCUUUUUAUUUUUUUUAUCCUUUGCCAUCCUGUGCCAGCAGCUGUUAAGGAAUUGUAAUGUAUUUUCACGUUAGUUUUUGUCUAUCUUUUGAAAAUCAUCUAAUCCAGCAUUGAAAGUGCAACAAAAUGCACACAACGAAGUGCGGCCACAGUUUAAUGGAACCGAGGUGGUUGUCGAAGGCUGUUUUGCUACAAAUGAUUCACCGGUGGUGUUUGAAAUCGAAGAUUAAAGGACAUUGAGUUAACCUUUGCAACAUUUGCAGUACUUCAUCAGGUUGCUUGUCCAAAAACACCAAAUGGCUUCCAAGAACUGGAUGGAAAGGCUAAAGAAGGCAAAAAAUUGUGCUCAAACGAACACCCAGGCUCAUCCCU